rnacentral:misc_RNA from 1 species
GAUGAAGAACGUAGCGAAAUGCGAUACGUAAUGUGAAUUGCAGAAUUCAGUGAAUCAUCGAAUCUUUGAACGCAUAUUGCGCUCUCUGGUAUUCCGGAGAGCAUGCUUGUUUGAGUAUCAGUAAACACCUCAACUCCCUUUUCUUUUUUGAAAUGGGAGCUGGACUUGAGUGAUCCCAACACUUUUCUCACUGGAAAGUGGCGGGUCACUUUAAAUGCAGGUGCAGCUGGACUGUUCUCUGAGCUAUAAGCAUAUCUAUUUAGUCUGCCUAAAAAACAGAUUAUUACCUUUGCUGCAGCUAACAUAAAGGAGAUGAGUUCUUGUGCUGACUGAUGCAGGAUUCACAGAGACAGCUUUGCGGCUGACUUUGUAAACUCGAUCUCAAAUCAAGUAAGACUACCCGCUGAACUUAAGCAUAUCAAUAAGCGGAGGA